rnacentral:misc_RNA from 1 species
GACAUGGCCGAUUUAAGGUUCCAUUUUCACUUGUGGGUUUUCUUUGCAAGUCUUCUCUUUCAAAAUACCAGCAAAAGUCAUGUAUGGUCUGCAGAGAAUCAUGCUCCCUUAUUCAUAUUUGGAGACUCUCUAUUUGAUGCUGGAAAUAAUAAUAACAAUCCUGAAAGUCCAGCUUGCUACUGGCCCUACGGGGAAACAUUCUUCAAGCAUCCUACUGGAAGAGCUUCUGACGGUCGAGUAAUUCCAGAUUUUAUCGCUGAAUAUGCAAAGUUGCCAUUCAUUGCACCAUAUAUUCAGAUCACAGAUCAUCAAUUGAGAUAUGGAGUGAACUUUGCAUCAGGAGGAGCCGGUGUUCUGGAUACUUUUCAAGAAUUUACGGCAGACCUUAAAACACAGCUUAUUAAUUUCAAGUACGUGAAGAAACG